rnacentral:rRNA from 1 species
AGACGUAGGGGCGCAAGCGUUGUCCGGAUUUAUUGGGCGUAAAGGGCUCGUAGGCGGUUUGUCGCGUCGGGAGUGAAAUCCACUGGCUUAACUGGUGGCUUGCUUUCGAUACGGGCAGACUGGAGGUAUGCAGGGGGAGAACGGAAUUCCCGGUGUAGCGGUGAAAUGCGCAGAUAUCGGGAGGAACACCAAUGGCGAAGGCAGCUUGCUGGGACGGUACUGACGCUGAGGCGCGAAAAGCGUGGGGGAGCGAACAGG